AUUGAACGCUGGCGGCAGGCCUAACACAUGCAAGUCGAACGAGUGGCGGACGGGUGAGUAAUGUCUGGGAAACUGCCCUAUGGAGGGGGAUAACUACUGGAAACGGUAGCUAAUACCGCAUCCCAUCGUAUGUGCCCAUAUGGGAUUAGCUAGUGGGUGGGGUAACGGCUCACCUAGGCGACGAUCUCUAGCUGGUCUGAGAGGAUGACCAGCCACACUGGGACUGAGACACGGUCCAGAAUCCUACGGGAGGCAGCAGUGGGGAAGAUUGCGCAAUGGGCGCAAGCCUGAAGCAGCCAUGCCGCGUGAAUGAAGAAGGCCUUCGGGUUGUAAAGUACUUUCAGUGGGGAGGCGUUACCCGCAGAAGAAGCACCGGCUAACUCCGUGCCAGCAGCCGCGGUAAUAC
rnacentral:rRNA from 1 species